GACAGAGGUGCCGAGCGUUAGGCGGAAUCACUGGGCUUAAAGCGUGUGUAGGCGGAUUUGUAAGUACCUUGUGAAAUCCCACGGCUUAACCGUGGAACUGCUUGGUAUACUGCUUAUCUUGGGCCACUUAGGGGUUACCGGAACAAACGGUGGAGCGGUGAAAUGCGUAGAUAUCGUUUGGAACGCCAAUGGUGAAAACAGGUAACUGGGAGUGUGCCGACGCUGAGACACGAAAGCCAGGGGAGCGAACGGG
rnacentral:rRNA from 1 species